rnacentral:misc_RNA from 1 species
CCACCAUCAGGCCCCCGGGCCUGUGUUGGGGACCUGCGGCUGCCCGCAGGCCCCGAAAUUCAGUGGCGGUCGCGCCGUAGCAACCGAGCGUAGUAACUAAAACGUCUCGCUCUGGCUCGCUGGGCGCGCUCCGGCCGUAAAACACCCCCCCUUUUCGCAAA